ensembl:piRNA 21ur-3338 ncRNA
UAAUUCAUUAACUUCCAAGGC